GAUGAACGCUAGCUACAGGCUUAACACAUGCGAGUCGAGGGGAAACGAUAUUGGAAGCUUGCUUCCGAUAGGCGUCGACCGGCGCACGGGUGAGUAACGCGUAUCCAACCUGCCCACCACUUGGGGAUAACCUUGCGAAAGUAAGACUAAUACCCAAUGAUAUCUCUAGAAGACAUCUGAAAGAGAUUAAAGAUUUAUCGGUGAUGGAUGGGGAUGCGUCUGAUUAGCUUGUUGGCGGGGUAACGGCCCACCAAGGCGACGAUCAGUAGGGGUUCUGAGAGGAAGGUCCCCCACAUUGGAACUGAGAAACGGUCCAAACUCCUACGGGAGGCAGCAGUGAGGAAUAUUGGUCAAUGGGCGAGAGCCUGAACCAGCCAAGUAGCGUGCAGGAUGACGGCCCUAUGGGUUGUAAACUGCUUUUAUAAGGGAAUAAAGUGAGAGUCGUGACUCUUUUUGCACGUACCUUAUGAAUAGGGACCGGCUAAUUCCGUGCCAGCCGCCGCAGUAACAC
rnacentral:rRNA from 1 species